UGGGGAAUCUUGCACAAUGGGGGCAACCCUGAUGCAGCGACGCCGCGUGAGCGAUGAAGGUUUUCGAAUCGUAAAGCUCUGUCCUAUGGGAAGAUAAUGACGGUAUCAUAGGAGGAAGCCCCGGCUAAAUACGUGCCAGCAGCCGCGGUAAUACGUAUGGGGCGAGCGUUGUCCGGAAUUAUUGGGCGUAAAGGGUACGUAGGCGGUCUAUUAAGUCAGGUGUGAAAGCGUGAGGCUUAACCUCAUUAAGCACUUGAAACUGAUAGACUUGAGUGAAGGAGAGGAAAGUGGAAUUCCUAGUGUAGCGGUGAAAUGCGUAGAUAUUAGGAGGAAUACCGGUGGCGAAGGCGACUUUCUGGACUGCAACUGACACUGAGGCACGAAAGCGUGGGUAGCAAACAGG
rnacentral:rRNA from 1 species